GAAAUGCGAUAAGUAGUGUGAAUUGCAGAAUUCAGUGAAUCAUCGAAUCUUUGAACGCACAUUGCGCCCCUUGGUAUUCCAUGGGGCAUGCCUGUUCGAGCGUCAUUUGUACCUUCAAGCUCUGCUUGGUGUUGGGUGUUUGUCCCGCCUUUGUGCGCGGACUCGCCUUAAAGCAAUUGGCAGCCGGCGUAUAGAUUUCGGAGCGCAGCACAAUCCGCGCUUUGUACUCAUUACGACGACAUCCAUCAAGACAUUUUUUAACUCUUGACCUCGGAUCAGGUAGGGAUACCCGCUGAACUUAA
rnacentral:misc_RNA from 1 species